GGGUUGUGAGGUUAAGCGACUAAGCGUACACGGUGGAUGCCCUGGCAGUCAGAGGCGAUGAAGGGCGUGCUAAUCUGCGAUAAGCGCCGGUAAGGUGAUAUGAACCGUUAUAACCGGCGAUACCCGAAUGGGGAAACCCAGUGUGAUUCGUCACACUAUCAUUAACUGAAUCCAUAGGUUAAUGAGGCGAACCGGGGGAACUGAAACAUCUAAGUACCCCGAGGAAAAGAAAUCAACCGAGAUUCCCCCAGUAGCGGCGAGCGAACGGGGAGGAGCCCAGAGCCUGAAUCAGCAUGUGUGUUAGUGGAAGCGUCUGGAAAGGCGCGCGAUACAGGGUGACAGCCCCGUACACAAAAGCGCAUGUGCUGUGAGCUCGAUGAGUAGGGCGGGACACGUGGUAUCCUGUCUGAAUAUGGGGGGACCAUCCUCCAAGGCUAAAUACUCCUGACUGACCGAUAGUGAACCAGUACCGUGAGGGAAAGGCGAAAAGAACCCCGGUGAGGGGAGUGAAAAAGAACCUGAAACCGUGUACGUACAAGCAGUGGGAGCACCCUUCGGGGUGUGACUGCGUACCUUUUGUAUAAUGGGUCAGCGACUUAUAUUCUGUAGCAAGGUUAACCGUAUAGGGGAGCCGCAGGGAAACCGAGUCUUAAUUGGGCGUUAAGUUGCAGGGUAUAGACCCGAAACCCGGUGAUCUAGCCAUGGGCAGGUUGAAGGUUGGGUAACACUAACUGGAGGACCGAACCGACUAAUGUUGAAAAAUUAGCGGAUGACCUGUGGCUGGGGGUGAAAGGCCAAUCAAACCGGGAGAUAGCUGGUUCUCCCCGAAAGCUAUUUAGGUAGCGCCUCGUGAAUUCAUCUCCGGGGGUAGAGCACUGUUUCGGCUAGGGGGCCAUCCCGGCUUACCAACCCGAUGCAAACUGCGAAUACCGGAGAAUGUUAUCACGGGAGACACACGGCGGGUGCUAACGUCCGUCGUGAAGAGGGAAACAACCCAGACCGCCAGCUAAGGUCCCAAAGUCAUGGUUAAGUGGGAAACGAUGUGGGAAGGCCCAGACAGCCAGGAUGUUGGCUUAGAAGCAGCCAUCAUUUAAAGAAAGCGUAAUAGCUCACUGGUCGAGUCGGCCUGCGCGGAAGAUGUAACGGGGCUAAACCAUGCACCGAAGCUGCGGCAGCGACACUGUGUGUUGUUGGGUAGGGGAGCGUUCUGUAAGCCUGCGAAGGUGGCCUGUGAGGGUUGCUGGAGGUAUCAGAAGUGCGAAUGCUGACAUAAGUAACGAUAAAGCGGGUGAAAAGCCCGCUCGCCGGAAGACCAAGGGUUCCUGUCCAACGUUAAUCGGGGCAGGGUGAGUCGACCCCUAAGGCGAGGCCGAAAGGCGUAGUCGAUGGGAAACGGGUUAAUAUUCCCGUACUUGGUGUUACUGCGAAGGGGGGACGGAGAAGGCUAUGUUGGCCGGGCGACGGUUGUCCCGGUUUAAGCGUGUAGGUGUGUGUUCCAGGUAAAUCCGGUUCACUUUAACACUGAGGCGUGACGACGAGGCACUACGGUGCUGAAGCAACAAAUGCCCUGCUUCCAGGAAAAGCCUCUAAGCAUCAGGUAACACGAAAUCGUACCCCAAACCGACACAGGUGGUCAGGUAGAGAAUACCAAGGCGCUUGAGAGAACUCGGGUGAAGGAACUAGGCAAAAUGGUGCCGUAACUUCGGGAGAAGGCACGCUGACACGUAGGUGAAGUGAUUUACUCAUGGAGCUGAAGUCAGUCGAAGAUACCAGCUGGCUGCAACUGUUUAUUAAAAACACAGCACUGUGCAAACACGAAAGUGGACGUAUACGGUGUGACGCCUGCCCGGUGCCGGAAGGUUAAUUGAUGGGGUCAGCGCAAGCGAAGCUCCUGAUCGAAGCCCCGGUAAACGGCGGCCGUAACUAUAACGGUCCUAAGGUAGCGAAAUUCCUUGUCGGGUAAGUUCCGACCUGCACGAAUGGCGUAAUGAUGGCCAGGCUGUCUCCACCCGAGACUCAGUGAAAUUGAACUCGCUGUGAAGAUGCAGUGUACCCGCGGCAAGACGGAAAGACCCCGUGAACCUUUACUAUAGCUUGACACUGAACAUUGAGCCUUGAUGUGUAGGAUAGGUGGGAGGCUUUGAAGUGUGGACGCCAGUCUGCAUGGAGCCGACCUUGAAAUACCACCCUUUAAUGUUUGAUGUUCUAACGUGGACCCGUAAUCCGGGUUGCGGACAGUGUCUGGUGGGUAGUUUGACUGGGGCGGUCUCCUCCUAAAGAGUAACGGAGGAGCACGAAGGUUGGCUAAUCCUGGUCGGACAUCAGGAGGUUAGUGCAAUGGCAUAAGCCAGCUUGACUGCGAGCGUGACGGCGCGAGCAGGUGCGAAAGCAGGUCAUAGUGAUCCGGUGGUUCUGAAUGGAAGGGCCAUCGCUCAACGGAUAAAAGGUACUCCGGGGAUAACAGGCUGAUACCGCCCAAGAGUUCAUAUCGACGGCGGUGUUUGGCACCUCGAUGUCGGCUCAUCACAUCCUGGGGCUGAAGUAGGUCCCAAGGGUAUGGCUGUUCGCCAUUUAAAGUGGUACGCGAGCUGGGUUUAGAACGUCGUGAGACAGUUCGGUCCCUAUCUGCCGUGGGCGCUGGAGAACUGAGGGGGGCUGCUCCUAGUACGAGAGGACCGGAGUGGACGCAUCACUGGUGUUCGGGUUGUCAUGCCAAUGGCACUGCCCGGUAGCUAAAUGCGGAAGAGAUAAGUGCUGAAAGCAUCUAAGCACGAAACUUGCCCCGAGAUGAGUUCUCCCUGAGACUUAGAGUCUCCUGAAGGAACGUUGAAGACGACGACGUUGAUAGGCCGGGUGUGUAAGCGCAGCGAUGCGUUGAGCUAACCGGUACUAAUGAACCGUGAGGCUUAACCUUACAACGCCGAAG
rnacentral:rRNA from 1 species